rnacentral:rRNA from 1 species
UACAGAGGGUGCGAGCGUUAAUCGGAAUUACUGGGCGUAAAGCGCGCGUAGACGGUUUUGUAAGUCAGAUGUGAAAUCCCUGGGCUCAACCUGGGAACUGCAUUUGAAACUGCAUGGCUAGAGUAUGGUAGAGGGAAGUGGAAUUUCCGGUGUAGCGGUGAAAUGCGUAGAUAUCGGGAGGAACACCAGCGGCGAAGGCGGCUGGCUGGAUCGCAACUGACGCUGAGGAACGAAAGCUAGGGGAGCAAACAGG